rnacentral:rRNA from 1 species
UUACGGCUAUAUCACAUUGAAACACCGGUUCCCUUACGAUCAUCAAAGUUAAGCAGCGCCGAGCCUGGUCAAUACCUAGAUGGGUGACCGCUUGGGAAUAUCA